CCUGGUGAUUUAGCUCGGAGGAAACACCCGUUCCCAUACCGAACACGGCAGUUAAGCUCCUUUGCACUGAUGGUACUAUAUGGGUAACUGUAUGGAAGAGUAGGUUUUGCCAGGU
rnacentral:rRNA from 1 species